rnacentral:rRNA from 1 species
AUUGAACGCUGGCGGCAGGCCUAACACAUGCAAGUCGAACGGUAACAGGGAUCAGCUUGCUGAUUCGCUGACGAGUGGCGGACGGGUGAGUAAUGUCUGGGAAACUGCCUGAUGGAGGGGGAUAACUACUGGAAACGGUAGCUAAUACCGCAUAACGUCGCAAGACCAAAGAGGGGGACCUUCGGGCCUCUUGCCAUCGGAUGUGCCCAGAUGGGAUUAGCUAGUAGGUGGGGUAACGGCUCACCUAGGCGACGAUCCCUAGCUGGUCUGAGAGGAUGACCAGCCACACUGGAACUGAGACACGGUCCAGACUCCUACGGGAGGCAGCAGUGGGGAAUAUUGCACAAUGGGCGCAAGCCUGAUGCAGCCAUGCCGCGUGUAUGAAGAAGGCCUUCGGGUUGUAAAGUACUUUCAGCGGGGAGGAAGGGAGUAAAGUUAAUACCUUUGCUCAUUGACGUUACCCGCAGAAGAAGCACCGGCCAACUCCGUG